GGGGUGUGGUGUCCGCAUAGUGUGUUUUGCGGUGAUUAAAAUGAGCAGAAUCAUUGUUAAACUGCCUCGGAUGGACGGGAAAUUAUUGCUACAGAUAAUUCUACAGUAUUAAGCAAAUAUUCGUCAAACAAGCAGAAGUGGCAAUGUUAUUACGAGGGUCAUUGGGAAGUCGUUGUUUGCUGCGAAGGAGGUAGAUAUUACGUUCCAGCAUUACCCACUGUACUGGCCAAAUAUUAUGAUGGAAAUUACGACUUGGAAGCCACUGUGAAAAAAGCUGCUAGACCAUCCAUCAGCAGUAAAAUCUCAUCAGAGGCUGCAAUACGUUGCUGAACACCACAACAGGACUGAAGUAUUUAUUUCUAUGGUGAAGUUCAGUAUAUUGUAUUUUUCAUAACGACGAAACAUAUUGUAAAAGUCAUGAUUCGUCGUCCUCUUGUACAGGAUCAUAAGCUGGUUGUACAUAGGCCUAUAUAAAGUGCUUAAAAUUACUAUUGCCAUAUUAAGCAGAGCACCAGAUUGUGUACAAAGUACCAGCAAUUUUAUUACAUCGACAAAUAUACUAAAAGCAGCUGCAGAAAAAGACAACAAAAGGAAAUAAAUGAGACCCAAAUGACAAAUACGUUGUGUGAAUUCAAUGGCAAUCAUGAGAAGUGUGAUGCAAGUGUUCAGACUUAGUCUCUAACAGAAUUGUGGCCCUUAGGAAAAAAGUGAAAUGACUGCAGGUGAAACUGAAGUGGCAUGAAGAAAAGGUGGAAACAAUGGCAGAAAUGACCAGUGCUGAAAAAAAGAAGCUAUGUAAAUGACAAUCUGAAAAGUGUUCUUCAGGAACAUUUUAGUUGCUUUCCUUUAGAUUUUAUUGUUACCCAAUUGAAAAACACUGAUGCAACGAAGCAAUUCAGACAAUACAGUGAACUAACGAAACAAUUUA